ensembl:lncRNA
AGAUGUGACUUAGUAUUUCCACUGUAACAUCUAAUAAAUACAUACAUGUGUUUUAUGUAUAUGCAUGUGUAUAUUUAUAUCACAGUCAUAUAUACACAGCACAGAUCUCUGACUAAAAACUGAAUUUGAGCGCCAGUAUAAAGAAGUAGUAGUAGUAAAUUUAUUCCUGGACAAGUAUUUUGCUUACACUCAUUGACAGUUGCAUGAACAAUUACUAAAAAUAAUGGUCUACUUUAAAACAGCUAAUGAUAUUUACUUUAGUAUUCCAGGUUUUAUCAAAUGACAACUCAGCCAGUAGCAUCUUAAAGGAAAAACCCAAAUUUACAGAGAGGAACUAAGUAGAUGAUAAAAUGUAAAGAUGAAAAAUUAUCAUUCUGAAUUUGGAUUCUUUUCCAUCUGUCCUGCAGAGGUUUUCUGUUCUUCAGGGUUUAUUCAGCUAAAUGGUAAAACAAAAUAUACUUACGUCCUGAAACUAUCCUAGUUUCACAUCUUCUCUAUUUUGCCAAAUACUGUCAGAAAGGAUAUUCCAACAUUUCCAGCAGCAUCUUGUGUCAAAAGAGAACUGCCAGACAAACAAAUAAUUCCUCUUUAAUUUUUUCCUCAGGAAAUUUAUUUGUUUUUGUUUUAAGUGAGUAGUGCUUUGAAAUCUCUACAAACUUCCUAGGGGAAAUACUUCAUACCCAAAUUUACUGACUAUCAGAAAUAUUUCCUGAUGCUCAGCCUAUACUUCCUGUUAUUAAAUUCCUUUCCUUUUUGUUAUGUUUUCUGGUACCUUUUUGAAAAAUUGCUCUCUCUAGCUGUCAUAUGCUUCUUUGAAGAAUAUGAUGAAAUGAGAUGAGACUAGAUGGAAUGGGAUGAGGAGAGGUGAGGUGGUGUGAUGUGAUGUGACAUUAUCACUGAGAAAGAAGCAGAAAAAAGUGCAUUCACACAAGAAAGAAACAAAAGACAGAUGACUAAAUUACCAGUCUGUGCAUGCAGAGGCAAUGAUCUUUAAUUUCAAAGUAGCACACAAGAAAUGUUAUAACUAUAAAUACUUUUUGAAAGCUGUAUUUUGAAUGAGCAGCGUAACUAACACAACAAUAACUGAAUUAUUUUAAGGGGCAAAUGGAAAAGCUAUAGCUGAUAUCAAAUAUUUCCAUUCAACCUGUGUGGGCCUACAGAACAACAUAAAUAUUUGAGAAGACAUCUAACAAGACAAAUACUUUUGUGCAACCUGCUCUUUUGCUCUUCAUAGCAUUUUUAUGCUGGCUUUAUUUUGUUAUUAUUUUCAAUAUACCCCAGAAAUUCAUACUGCAUAGUUGAAGUUGCUUUGAUCGGAUACUGAAGAGCUUCUGCUCUUAUGCACAAGAGAAAAUACAAUAUGAAGUUUUCAGCUUAUUUCUAUUAGUGUUGUAACGGGUGACACUGAAAUCAUGAACAAUUUUUCUCAGUAUCAUUAUAUUACAGAAGACUAAAGCUAUUACCCAGUAUUAAAGUCUUUUUAACUACAGUUUCAGGCUGCCUGCAGGCUCAGACAGACUUUUCCCCACAGUGAAAAUUAAUUCUAGAUAGGAAAUAGAGUAAAUUUUUAGUUUUUAUAUUUUUUUAAAACAAUGACGAAAUUUCUGGAGCAGAGUUUUCAGACAAGAUUAGAUUUCCUUGGCAAUUCUAAAGUUAGGGUUUAUGAAAGACACAAAGACAUGGCUAGAGAUAUUGAUAUAAAGAGGAAGAGAAGGAAGACAAAUACGAAGUCAUUCACCUAGUUUAUCAGAUAAAAAGACAUCAUAUCAGUAUAGCUCCCACGUAAAUACCAAAGUAGAUGAGAGUACCCAGUGGCUCAAGGAUUCUUGUCAUCAACUCUCUUUUCCACAAUUGCUUUUACCAGACUGAUAUUGUUUUUCAUCUUGGUAAUGUGGUAACUGUGUCUCUUUGGUACCCAUCACACCACACCAAAGGUGCCAGAAGCUCUUCAACAAUUAAACAUUCACAACAUAGCCAGAAAUAUUUUAUUAGUAGAAAACUCAGAGAGAUGCUUGGGGAAACAUGGGAUUUGCAGUUUUCCAUAGGAAUCAACAUUGAAUAGAUAUGCAUCUAAGGAGAUUAAAUUUGUAACUUCUUUAGAUUUUCUUGUAAUUCUCAAAACAGACUCUCACCUAAUUCACAUGUUGACAGAGACUUCAUAGGAGACAUUCCGGAUAUUCUCCUUCGAGAAGAUCCGGCUUAGUUUCCCGUACAUGCAGACUUCAUUUUG